rnacentral:rRNA from 1 species
CCCUUAGAUGUUCUGGGCCGCACGCGUGCUACACUGAGUGGAUCAGCGGGUCAGGUUGCGCGAAAGCGUUUCCUAAUCUUUAAAUCCGCUCGUGAUGGGGAUUGACGGUUGCAAUUUUCUGUCAUGAACGAGGAAUACCUUGUAAGCGCGGGUCAUCAUCCCGCGCUGAAUACGUCCCUGCCCUUUGUACACACCGCCCGUCGCUCCUACCGAUUGAGUGGUCCGGUGAAAUCUUCGGAUUGAGACUUUGAUUUCUUCACGGAAAACGCUGUUUUAAGAAGUUGAUUAAACCUUACCAUUUAGAGGAAGGUGAAGUCGUAACA